AUGCAGUCGAGCGAACAGACAAGGAGCUUGCUCCUUAUAACGUUAGCGGCGGACGGGUGAGUAACACGUGGGUAACCUACCUAUAAGACUGGGAUAACUUCGGGAAACCGGAGCUAAUACCGGAUAAUAUUUCGAACCGCAUGGUUCGAUAGUGAAAGAUGGUUUUGCUAUCACUUAUAGAUGGACCCGCGCCGUAUUAGCUAGUUGGUAAGGUAACGGCUUACCAAGGCGACGAUACGUAGCCGACCUGAGAGGGUGAUCGGCCACACUGGAACUGAGACACGGUCCAGACUCCUACGGGAGGCAGCAGUAGGGAAUCUUCCGCAAUGGGCGAAAGCCUGACGGAGCAACGCCGCGUGAGUGAUGAAGGUCUUCGGAUCGUAAAACUCUGUUAUUAGGGAAGAACAUACGUGUAAGUAACUAUGCACGUCUUGACGGUACCUAAUCAGAAAGCCACGGCUAACUACGUGCCAGCAGCCGCGGUAAUACGUAGGUGGCAAGCGUUAUCCGGAAUUAUUGGGCGUAAAGCGCGCGUAGGCGGUUUUUUAAGUCUGAUGUGAAAGCCCACGGCUCAACCGUGGAGGGUCAUUGGAAACUGUAAAACUUGAGUGCAGAAGAGGAAAGUGGAAUUCCAUGUGUAGCGGUGAAAUGCGCAGAGAUAUGGAGGAACACCAGUGGCGAAGGCGACUUUCUGGUCUGUAACUGACGCUGAUGUGCGAAAGCGUGGGGAUCAAACAGGAUUAGAUACCCUGGUAGUCCACGCCGUAAACGAUGAGUGCUAAGUGUUAGGGGGUUUCCGCCCCUUAGUGCUGCAGCUAACGCAUUAAGCACUCCGCCUGGGGGAGUACGACCGCAAGGUUGAAACUCAAGGGAAUUGACGGGGACCCGCACAAGCGGUGG
rnacentral:rRNA from 1 species